CAAGCAAACCUCACUGCUACCUUGGUCCUGCGUUUUACUUUCCUUGCAAUUCAAGCUCUAAGCAUGUCUAGUGAAGUUUGAUAAUAAUUAAUGGAGAUUGCUUUGAGGUGAUAAGUGCUUCCUUUCGAGCACCUUUGUGGAGCAGGUAUUUUUUCAAAAAAUAAAAAUAAAAAUUCUUAAGCAAAAGGGAAGGAAAGAACUCCAAGGCGGGGUGGUUUGCCUGAGUUUGCGAAGAAGGAAGUUGGUUUAACACGACUGACUGUAAACCAUGAGAAUAGGCUUUCUAAGAAGCAUGGAAACUUCUAAUAAGAUAAUGUGUUGUUCGACACUAUGUCUGAGAUAACAACACGACACGACACUCAUCAGACACUUCUAAAGACUUAGACACAUGAAACUCAUUACAAGUUUAAAUAAAACAACUUUGAAUUCGACGAUAAAACAAGAUCUAAAUUUAGACCUAAUUUUCUCCUUUAGGCUUCAAAAAUUAUUAUUUUGGCUUAAAUAUUUAUAUAUAUGACAUGGUAAUUAUUAUCCUUGUAUGUAUGACAUGUAAUAAAUAUAUAAAAUAAUAUAUUUUGUAUGUUUCCCCCAUGUGUCGUGUUUUACAUUUUUUGAACAUUUUUGUGUCGGCAUGUCCGUGUCUAGGUUUCUUAGGCUUACUCAAUUUAAGUUGGUUCAUGGAGUUCGAAUUGACCUUGAUUUAGGGAACCCAUAUUCAUUUGUUUACGCUUUUAGCAGCACAACCUGAUUUUUUUUUUAAGAGAAGGGCGAUGCAAGAUUGGCUGCCAAGUGGUUGAGGAGGUCCUAGUUACAUUUUAAAAGAUGCGAUAAUAUCAUGUGGCUUUUGCAAAGACCAUUGGCAUGCAAGGUCUGGUUUUAGGCCACUGCCUAAAAAUUAGGAUUAUUUGCUUGAUAGGCAUAAAUAAGGUCUACUGUGGGCAGGAAAUGGGUUGGCAAUUGGGAUGAAUGGAGAAACCAUAUCAGGAGAAGAUUUUGCGAGUAAAUGGGCUGCCACAGAAUGUAAUUUCUGAUGCCACUAGGCAUUUACUAAAUUCAUUUGGUCUUUCGUAUUUGCACAUUUGAAAGGAUUGGGGGCUCCUGGUUACUAUUGCAUAGCAUGGUUUUAGUAAUUUUCGAAUUAGCUAGACUCUUUUGAGGAAAGGUAAUCUUCCAGAAAUUCUGACAUCUCGUUUUCACCUACGAUCAACUUUUAAUUCCUGAAAGGGUAUGCUUAUCUUUUGCCUUCAAUCUGUUGGCAAGGAUGUCCCUAACUAAUCAAUUUGUUUAUUGCACGAUAUAGACACUCUCUUUUGCCGUUACUUGUGAAUGUGCCCUGACGUUAUGACUUCUGCAAAUCUUGAACCCUAACAUGCUUUAACACUUUCUCAAACGUCUUGAAUCAGUUGGCAAGGAUGUUCUUAACUAAUCAAUUUGUUAUAUCAUAGUGUAUAUAUUCUUAAUUGGCAUAACUUGUGAAUCUGCCCAACAAUGUGCCUUUUUCAAGACUUGAACUCUAAUAUGCUUUCACACUCGAGUGCUGAGUUUUAUGUAUCUCAUAUUGAGAAUAUGGACUUCUGCAGGGGGCCAUGAGGGAUCUUUCGAAGAAAAUGCAUGAUUUUGCUCCAGCUCCAACAGAACAGCGUGAAGAUGUAGCUUAUAAUUCUGACUACGGAACCCCCAUCCACACUCAUUGAUCUUCUUCCUUUCUCCAGUGGUGAUGAUAACUCAGCUUUUGCACCUGAGCGGUAAGCUAUUACACAAAGGCAGUCUGGCGAUGAUUGGAACAUAGAAGGCUUUCUUUAAAACUACUUCUGGCGUUUAUUUGUACAGAUAAGUCUUAAUCAGUACACUGAGGUCAUUUUCUUUUUACUUUUGUACUUUGCAUGAGAUUACCUCGAGAGAUUAUUACUUAGAUAUCACACAAUAUUUCUGGAGUGUCUCGACAGUUUUAGCUAUCUUCCGAAACACACAGUUCAUCUAGAUUUUAUAGUCUUUUCAAUUGGUUGACUCCUUUCUUUUAUGUUAGUGGACCUAAAAAUGUCUCUAGUUCAAAUUUAGGUUGGGUCAUGAGUUAACCCAACAUGUAACCCUGGCUCGUAUGAAUAUAUAUAUAUAUAUAUAAACAACAUUUUAGUGACUUUUCA